rnacentral:rRNA from 1 species
GACGAACGCUGGCGGCGUGCUUAACACAUGCAAGUCGAACGAAGUGGCGCACGGGUGAGUAACGCGUAAUCAACCUGCCCUUCAGAGGGGGACAACAGUUGGAAACGACUGCUAAUACCGCAUACUGAAGGAGGGUAUUGCGUCUGAUUAGCUAGUUGGAGGGGUAACGGCCCACCAAGUCGAUGAUCAGUAGCCGGUCUGAGAGGAUGAACUGGCAAAUUGGGACUGAGACACGGCCCAGACUCCUGAGGGAGGCAGCAGUAGGGAAUCUUGCGCAAUGGACGGAAGUCUGACGGAGCAACGCAGCGUGAGUGAUGACCGCCUUCGGGUUGGAAAGAUCUGUUAAUCGGGACGCGGUACCGGAAUAGAAAGCCACGGCUAACUACGUGCCAGCAGCCGCGGUAAUAC